UGAUGAAUUAAUUUUUCUAACAUUUACGGCCCUUUUUAAACCUUCGUAAUUUUUAUAUUAUUAAAGUUGUCGUGAUGAAAAUUCUUGACAAGAAAGUUCAAUAGUAACACAAUACGUGUACCGUUUUAGAAACAUGAUUCCAUGAUAUUUUCUCGAUAGAAAAAAAAUACAAAGUUCUCAUUGUUAUUUUUUUUAAAUCUCUGGCAUCUUCAAAAUAACAAACGUAAAGUUACGACUUUUUGGAUAUUAACUAUAAAAUAUACAACCUAUACGUCUACCGAGUUAGAAUUUUGAAAUAUGCGAUGGUUUUGAAAUAAACAAGAAAUACUUGAAAUUAGCGCGCGACCAGCCAAUCUAGCGAGAGCCGUCCUGUACCUUCCUACCCCGAUCGCUGCACGAGUCAUUCCCGCUACGGCCGUCACACGGGGAACUUGUGUCGCUUGUCUUCGAGUCGCGCAAUCGUAACAAAGGGUGACAACACGAUAAGACAAAUGGGGACAAUAAAGAAAAUAAGAAGAAGAAACAUAAAGGUUGGAGGAAAAAGAAUGCUUACAAUUGGAACAAAUUAAUGAAAAAUCCGGAAUCCAGAAGGAAAAUAAACCCACUAAUUGUUCACAAUGUGAACCCACUCCUUCGUAAGCACCUUCAUUCAGUCAAAAAUUUAUGUUAUCAACGCUCUACUGGUUUUAUCGCAUGAUUCCAUUUUUAGCAAAAAGCAACAAAGUGCAAAGAAAUAAAAAAUCAUGGUGAACUUAGUGGAAGUAUGGUGGACGUAAUAUGGAACAGGAGCUCAUUGGAGUAGUAUUAUAUUUAAAAAAAAUACGAAAAAAUUCAAGAAUUACAUUUCUUAGUAGGUGGUAGAUACGUAUGUUGUAUAAAGAAUUUGAUGUUGAUAUUUAUUUCAUUUAUACUUACUACACAUGUGCGGGAAAUUGCUUAGUACUAAAACAGGUUUAUAUUCAUAUUUACAUAGUAAUGUGAAAGUUUUUCGAAAAAUUUUGUGUAUAUUAAAUUGAGUUCCUGGGUGAUCUGGAAACACAAUUGGGCCCGGAAGGUGGCGCUGCAGUCACUCCUAAUCACAUGAACCGAUUUGGAUGAAUAUUUGUGUGCACAUUUCAUUGUUGUGGGAUGAUUGGUUGAUUCGUUUUCACAUUAGCUAAAAUUAUGUAUUUUUGUUGUUAGAAAGUAAACUUAAUUUAAUGUUUAUAAUACAUUAUUAUUGGUAUACCUAAAUAAGCCAGUAUUCGUCUCACAUUGCUGUACCUGCCUACCUACCCUACCAGGGCCUAUUUUUGUUCUGGCUAUUUUAUUUUGAUUAUUUGUUGAAUAAUUACCAUUAUAAUAGAAUGCAAAAAAUAAAUACUUGUGUGAAU